rnacentral:rRNA from 1 species
AUGGCCAGCCACCGCUACAGCACACACCUCCUUUCUGAGAUCCACCCCAUUGAGGAGGGCAACGGAUUGGCCCACCCACGCGGCACGCCCCUCCAUCCUCAGAUCCACCCAAGUGAGGAGGUUGCUGGAAUGCCCAGCCACCGCCGCAGUGCACUCCUCCUUUCCCAGAUCCACACCAUCGAGGAGUGUGACGAACUUGCCCACCCAUGUGGCAUGUGCGUCCGUCCCCAGAUCCAGGCUGGUGAGGAGGAUAUUGGAACAACUCGUCGCAGACGUCAACGCCACCGCGGCACCUCGUCGGAGGCACCCUCCUCCCUGCCGGACAACGACGAUAUACUCAGGGAGAUCUUUCUCCGCCUCCCCUCGGACCUGUACUCAUUCCCCCGAGCGUCUGCCAUCUGCAAGCGUUGGCGAGGCCUCCUCAUCGACCCCAAGUUCCUCUGCCAGUUCUACACACACCACUGCAAGCCGCCCCUCCUCGGCAUCUUCGAGAACUGCAGCAAGGAAGGUAUGGUGUUCACCCCCAUUCCGGCUCUAGUUGCCGACUACAUCCCUCCGGAGCGCUUCUCCCUUGGACGCCCCCGACUUACCUAUGUGCUCGACUGCCGCCACGGUCGCGUACUUAUCGAAGAUCUAGAGCAGAAAUACCUCAUUGUGUGCGACCCCAUCACAAGUGAGAAGUGUCGCGUGGCUCUUCCAUGCAAGUUCAAGUGGAGCUUUGUCGGAGCGGUGCUCUGCACAGCCGGCUACAAGGGGCCCUCCAGCCCCUUCAAGGUGGUAUUGGUGUCCUGGGAUGGCGUGGAUAAUCAACUCCUCGCCUACGUUUACUCCUCGAUGACCGACACAUGGGGCAAUCUCAUAUCAGUUGAGGCUCCAGAUAAUACUUAUUUUCAUGGUUGUCGUAGCACCCUUGUUGGCAAUGUCCUUUACUGGCCAGUUAUGAAUGGGAGAGGUACAAUACUUGAGUUUGAUUUGGACAGCCAGAACCUUACCAUGAUCAAGGGGCCUCCUGGUAUGAAUGAUACUGGCAACUUUCAGAUCAUCCAGGCAGAGGAUGGCGCCGUUGGUCUUGCCAUGUUGUCCUGUCAUAACCUUCAAAUUUGGCAGAGGAAGGUCAAUUGUCAAGGUGUUUGCAUAUGGUUGUUGCAGAAAACGGUUUCAUUGCACAAGCUUCUUAAGAUCCCUCCUCGGGGCAAUAAAAGGAUCAAAUGGCCGGACAAAUUUCUGGGCUAUGAAGAGGAUAACGAUGUAAUCUUUUUAUAUAGAUACGAAAGUGUCUAUAUGGUUCAACUCAAGUCAAUGCAAUUCAGGAAAUUUAAUGGAACCCGUUCCAGGGAGUAUAGGGAGUGUUGUUAUCCUUUCACGGGUUUCUUCCCACCAGGCACAACCAUUACUAGUGGAUGUAAAGAAGCUGAAAUGUUAGGAUGA